rnacentral:rRNA from 1 species
CCUACGGGGGGCAGCAGUGGGGAAUGUUGCGCAAUGAUCGUAAGAGUGACGCAGCGACGCCGCGUGAAUGACGAAGGCCUUCGGGUCGUAAAGUUCUUUCGACAGGGAAGAAAAUGCCUAUAAGUAACUGUGUAUGUAUUGACGGUACCUGUAUAAGCAGCCCCGGCUAACUCCGUGCCAGCAGCCGCGGUAAUACGGAGGGGGCGAGCGUUGGUCGGAGGGACUGGGCGUAAAGAGCACGUAGGCGGUGUUGUAAGUCAUUAGUCAAAGACUAGAGCUCAACUUUAGUAAGGCUAGUGAUACUAUAAUACUAGAGUAUCAGAGAGGAUUGCAGAAUUCCUGGUGUAGCGGUGAAAUGCGUAGAUAUCAGGAGGAAUACCGUUAGCGAAGGCGGCAAUCUGGCUGGAAACUGACGCUGAGGUGCGAAAGCGUGGGUAGCAAACAGGAUUAGAUACCCUAGUAGUC